UACAGAGGGUGCGAGCGUUAAUCGGAAUUACUGGGCGUAAAGCGUGCGCAGACGGUCACGUAAGUCGGGUGUGAAAGCCCCGGGCUCAACCUGGGAAUUGCAUUCGAGACUGUGUGGCUAGGGUGCGGAAGAGGGAAGCGGAAUUUCCGGUGUAGCGGUGAAAUGCGUAGAUAUCGGAAGGAACACCAGUGGCGAAAGCGGCUUCCUGGUCCAGCACCGACGUCAGGCACGAAAGCGUGGGGAGCAAACAGG
rnacentral:rRNA from 1 species